rnacentral:rRNA from 1 species
UACGAAGGGGGCUAGCGUUGCUCGGAAUCACUGGGCGUAAAGGGCGCGUAGGCGGCUCAUGAAGGCUGUGGUGAAGUCCGGGGCUCAACCUCGGAUCGGCCGUGGCGACUCGUGGGCUGGGAGCACUGUAGAGGCGGGUGGAAUUCCGGGUGUAGCGGUGGAAUGCGUAGAGAUCCGGAAGAACACCAGUGGCGAAGGCGGCC